AUUGAACGCUGGCGGCAGGCCUAACACAUGCAAGUCGAGCGGGGUUUUCGGACCUAGCGGCGGACGGGUGAGUAAUGCGUAGGAAGCUACCCGAUAGAGGGGGAUACCAGUUGGAAACGACUGUUAAUACCGCAUAAUGUCUACGGACCAAAGUGUGGGACCUUCGGGCCACAUGCUAUCGGAUGCGCCUACGUGGGAUUAGCUAGUUGGUGCGGUAAUGGCUCACCAAGGCGACGAUCCCUAGCUGGUUUGACAGGAUGAUCAGCCACACUGGAAAUGGAACGCGGUCCAGACGCCUACGGGAGGCAGAGUGGGGGAGUAUUGGACAACGGGCGCAAGCCUGAUGCAGCCAUGCAGGGGGUGUGAGGAAGGCCGUCGGGUCGUAAGGCACUUUCAGCGAGGAAGGGGUGAGUGUUUAUAGUACUCAUCUUUGACGUUACUCGCAGAAGAAGCACCGGCUAACUCUGUGCCAGCAGCCGCAGUAACAC
rnacentral:rRNA from 1 species